rnacentral:rRNA from 1 species
CAGCCGCCACGGUAAUGCGAAGGGUGCAAGCGUUAAUCGGAAUUACUGGGCGUAAAGCGUGCGUAGGCGGUUUGUUAAGUCUGUUGUGAAAUCCCCGGGCUCAACCUGGGAAUGGCAAUGGAUACUGGCAAGCUAGAGUGUGUCAGAGGAUGGUGGAGUUCCCGGUGUAGCGGUGAAAUGCGUAGAGAUCGGGAGGAACAUCGGUGGCGAAGGCGGCCAUCUGGGACAACACUGACGCUGAGGCACGAAAGCGUGGGGAGCAAACAGGAUUAGAUACCCGCGUAGUCCCUGUCUCUUAUAC